UGGGAGAUUUCUGAUGUGAGAAUAGGAGGGAAAGAUUAGUGUUUGAUGUUCGAUUAGUUGGAAUAGAUAACGGUAAACCUAGAGCACUGGAAUUUUUCGUUGUUGGAUUAGUUGAAGAACAGUUGAAGUUAAAGGGAGAAGGAGAAGAAGGAAAACUGCAAAUAGAAGCAACAUGGGUCUUCAAAAAGAUUUGCAGGUAACAACUUUGCGCAUUCUGUGAUGUCCUCCGGUUCCAUGCCAAGUAUUCAACAUCAUCAAAAUAAUUAUCACUACCAAUUUGGUGGUUACUCAGCGACGUUUCACCAACAGCAUCAGCAACAACCGUAUCAACAAUUUGAACAACAGACGCAACAACAUUAUUAUUACAUGAACAAUAACAUUAACAACAUCAACUAUAUAUACACAAUAACACAAAAGAAAAUCAACAAAAGUGAACAACAGCAGCAAUUUGAAGAACAGCAGCAACAACAUUAUUACAUGAACAAUAACAUUAGCAAAAUCAACUACAUAUACACAAAGGAAAUCAACAAAAGUGAAGACUCUGCCCCGAAUUUCUUCUUUUUCUCUGUGUGUGUUUCUUGCUUAAAAUGGCGGCCUCAGAGAAAACAGUAUUCUCCAAAUCAUCUUCUGUAUCUUUAUGUAUGAAUUUGUGAAGUUGUUGCACCCAUGGUCAGAGAUGCUUUUGUUUCUGAGGAGGUGGUUCGUAUAGACUGCAAGGUCUCGAGAUGAGUGGCUACAAGUAGAUAGGCUUCAAACUCAGGGUACAAUUGGGAGAAGAAAGCAUGCCCAGAGUGAUGCGUCAGCUUAGGUACAUUGGAGCUUCAGCACAGAUAAGCACUUAGAGUAGAAAUUUGUAGUUUGAAUGUAGAGAAGUCAUUUGGAAGGUAGGUCCAGGAAUGUGACCAUAAUUUUUAGUUUUUUGUGGAGCUGAGAGGUAUCGGCCAUCAUGGCCGGCUGUGAUUUUGCU